UACAGAGGUCCCAAGCGUUGUUCGGAUUCACUGGGCGUAAAGGGUGCGUAGGUGGUGGGGUAAGUUUGAUGUGAAAGCUCCGAGCUUAACUCGGAAAUGGCAUUGAAUACUAUCCUGCUUGAGGUUUGGAGGGGGGACUGGAAUUCUCGGUGUAGCAGUGAAAUGCGUAGAUAUCGAGAGGAACACCAGUGGCGAAGGCGAGUCCCUGGACAACACCUGACACUGAGGCAACGAAAGCUAGGGGAGCAAACAGG
rnacentral:rRNA from 1 species